GAUUCGCUAGCUCAGCUGGUAGAGCACAACACUUUUAAUGUUGGGGUCCUGGGUUCGAGCCCCCAGGCGGAUCA
rnacentral:tRNA from 1 species